GGUUAAGUUAGAAAGGGCGCACGGUGGAUGCCUUGGCACUAGGAGCCGAUGAAGGACGGGACGAACACCGAUAUGCUUCGGGGAGCUGUAAGCAAGCUUUGAUCCGGAGAUUUCCGAAUGGGGAAACCCACCACUCGUAAUGGAGUGGUAUCCAUAUCUGAAUACAUAGGAUAUGAGAAGGCAGACCCGGGGAACUGAAACAUCUAAGUACCCGGAGGAAGAGAAAGCAAAUGCGAUUCCCUGAGUAGCGGCGAGCGAAACGGGACCAGCCCAAACCAAGAGGCUUGCCUCUUGGGGUUGUAGGACACUCUGUACGGAGUUACAAAGGAACGAGGUAGAUGAAGAGGUCUGGAAAGGCCCGCCAUAGGAGGUAACAGCCCUGUAGUCAAAACUUCGUUCUCUCCUGAGUGGAUCCUGAGUACGGCGGAACACGUGAAAUUCCGUCGGAAUCCGGGAGGACCAUCUCCCAAGGCUAAAUACUCCCUAGUGACCGAUAGUGAACCAGUACCGUGAGGGAAAGGUGAAAAGCACCCCGGAAGGGGAGUGAAAGAGAUCCUGAAACCGUGUGCCUACAAGUAGUCAGAGCCCGUUAACGGGUGAUGGCGUGCCUUUUGUAGAAUGAACCGGCGAGUUACGAUCCCGUGCAAGGUUAAGCAGAAGAUGCGGAGCCGCAGCGAAAGCGAGUCUGAAUAGGGCGAAUUGAGUACGUGGUCGUAGACCCGAAACCAGGUGAUCUACCCAUGUCCAGGGUGAAGUUCAGGUAACACUGAAUGGAGGCCCGAACCCACGCACGUUGAAAAGUGCGGGGAUGAGGUGUGGGUAGGGGUGAAAUGCCAAUCGAACCUGGAGAUAGCUGGUUCUCUCCGAAAUAGCUUUAGGGCUAGCCUCAAGGUAAGAGUCUCGGAGGUAGAGCACUGAUUGGACUAGGGGCCCCUACCGGGUUACCGAAUUCAGUCAAACUCCGAAUGCCGAUGACUUAUCCUUGGGAGUCAGACUGCGAGUGAUAAGAUCCGUAGUCGAAAGGGAAACAGCCCAGACCGCCAGCUAAGGUCCCAAAGUAUACGUUAAGUGGAAAAGGAUGUGGAGUUGCUUAGACAACCAGGAUGUUGGCUUAGAAGCAGCCACCAUUUAAAGAGUGCGUAAUAGCUCACUGGUCGAGUGACUCUGCGCCGAAAAUGUACCGGGGCUAAACGUAUCACCGAAGCUGCGGACUGUUCUUCGAACAGUGGUAGGAGAGCGUUCUAAGGGCUGUGAAGCAAGACCGGAAGGACUUGUGGAGCGCUUAGAAGUGAGAAUGCCGGUAUGAGUAGCGAAAGAGGGGUGAGAAUCCCCUCCACCGAAUGCCUAAGGUUUCCUGAGGAAGGCUCGUCCGCUCAGGGUUAGUCGGGACCUAAGCCGAGGCCGAAAGGCGUAGGCGAUGGAUAACAGGUUGAUAUUCCUGUACCACCUCCUCACCAUUUGAGCAAUGGGGGGACGCAGGAGGAUAGGGUAAGCGCGGUAUUGGAUAUCCGCGUCCAAGCAGUUAGGCUGGGAAAUAGGCAAAUCCGUUUCCCGUGAAGGCUGAGCUGUGAUGGCGAGCGAAUUAUAGUAGCGAAGUUCCUGAUUCCACACUGCCAAGAAAAGCCUCUAGCGAGGUGAGAGGUGCCCGUACCGCAAACCGACACAGGUAGGCGAGGAGAGAAUCCUAAGGUGAUCGAGAGAACUCUCGUUAAGGAACUCGGCAAAAUGACCCCGUAACUUCGGGAGAAGGGGUGCUCUGUUAGGGUGCAAGCCCGAGAGAGCCGCAGUGAAUAGGCCCAGGCGACUGUUUAGCAAAAACACAGGUCUCUGCGAAGCCGUAAGGCGAAGUAUAGGGGCUGACGCCUGCCCGGUGCUGGAAGGUUAAGAGGAGCGCUUAGCGUAAGCGAAGGUGCGAAUUGAAGCCCCAGUAAACGGCGGCCGUAACUAUAACGGUCCUAAGGUAGCGAAAUUCCUUGUCGGGUAAGUUCCGACCCGCACGAAAGGCGCAACGAUCUGGGCACUGUCUCAACGAGAGACUCGGUGAAAUUAUAGUACCUGUGAAGAUGCAGGUUACCCGCGACAGGACGGAAAGACCCCGUGGAGCUUUACUGCAGCCUGAUAUUGAAUGUUGGUACAGCUUGUACAGGAUAGGUAGGAGCCUUGGAAAUCGGAGCGCCAGCUUCGGUGGAGGCAUCGGUGGGAUACUACCCUGGCUGUAUUGACCUUCUAACCCGCCGCCCUUAUCGGGCGGGGAGACAGUGUCAGGUGGGCAGUUUGACUGGGGCGGUCGCCUCCUAAAAGGUAACGGAGGCGCCCAAAGGUUCCCUCAGAAUGGUUGGAAAUCAUUCGCAGAGUGUAAAGGCACAAGGGAGCUUGACUGCGAGACCUACAAGUCGAGCAGGGACGAAAGUCGGGCUUAGUGAUCCGGUGGUUCCGCAUGGAAGGGCCAUCGCUCAACGGAUAAAAGCUACCCCGGGGAUAACAGGCUUAUCUCCCCCAAGAGUCCACAUCGACGGGGAGGUUUGGCACCUCGAUGUCGGCUCAUCGCAUCCUGGGGCUGUAGUCGGUCCCAAGGGUUGGGCUGUUCGCCCAUUAAAGCGGUACGCGAGCUGGGUUCAGAACGUCGUGAGACAGUUCGGUCCCUAUCCGUCGCGGGCGCAGGAAAUUUGAGAGGAGCUGUCCUUAGUACGAGAGGACCGGGAUGGACGCACCGCUGGUGUACCAGUUGUUCUGCCAAGGGCAUCGCUGGGUAGCUAUGUGCGGACGGGAUAAGUGCUGAAAGCAUCUAAGCAUGAAGCCCCCCUCAAGAUGAGAUUUCCCAUUCCGCAAGGAAGUAAGAUCCCUGAAAGAUGAUCAGGUUGAUAGGUCUGAGGUGGAAGUGUGGCGACACAUGGAGCUGACAGAUACUAAUCGAUCGAGGACUUAACCAA
rnacentral:rRNA from 1 species